UACGGGGGGGGUAAGCGUUGUUCGGAAUUACUGGGCGUAAAGGGCUCGUAGGUGGCCAACUAAGUCAGACGUGAAAUCCCUCGGCUUAACCGGGGAACUGCGUCUGAUACUGGAUGGCUUGAGUUCGGGAGAGGGAUGCGGAAUUCCAGGUGUAGCGGUGAAAUGCGUAGAUAUCGAGAGGAACACCUGCGGCGAAGGCGGGUUGCUGGGCUGACACUGACGCUGAUGCGCGAAAGCCAGGGGAGCGAACGGG
rnacentral:rRNA from 1 species